rnacentral:rRNA from 1 species
AACGAACGCUGGCGGCGCGCCUAACACAUGCAAGUCGAACGAGAAAGUGUAGCAAUACAUGAGUAGAGUGGCGCACGGGUGAGGAAUACGUAGAUAAUCUGCCCCGAAGACCGGGAUAACCAGUCGAAAGAUUGGCUAAGACUGGGUAGAGCAACUUAGACGUGAGGUUUAGGUUGGGAAAGUUAGGCAUUGGGUAACUGAUGCUUAAGCUUUGGGAUGAGUCUGCGUCCCAUUAGUUAGUUGGCGAGGUAAAGGCUCACCAAGACGAUGAUGGGUAGCUGGUCUGAGAGGACGAUCAGCCACACUGGAGCUGAAACACGGUCCAGACUCCUACGGGAGGCAGCAGUGGGGAAUAUUGCACAAUGGGCGCAAGCCUGAUGCAGCGACGCCGCGUGAGGGAUGACGGCCUCGGUUGUAACUCUUCUAUAGGACGAAGCGUGAGUGACGGUACCGUAUAGAAGAAGCACCGGCCGAACUACGUAGCCA